ACGCGCCCUCCGCGACGGCGGCGGCGAGGUCGCGGUUCGUGGCGGCGACGACGCGGACGUCGACCGUCCGCGGCUCGGUCGCCCCCAGCGGCACGAAC
rnacentral:tRNA from 1 species